rnacentral:rRNA from 1 species
AACGAACGCUGGCGGCAUGCCUAACACAUGCAAAUCGAACGAUCCCUUCGGGGAUAGUGGCGCACGGGUGCGUAACGCGUGGGAAUCUGCCCUCGGGUUCGGAAUAACAGUUAGAAAUGACUGCUAAUACCGGAUGAAGUCUUCGGACCAAAGAUUUAUCGCCCAGGGAUGAGCCCGCGUAGGAUUAGGUAGUUGGUGAGGUAAAGGCUCACCAAGCCGACGAUCCUUAGCUGGUCUGAGAGGAUGAUCAGCCACACUGGGACUGAGACACGGCCCAGACUCCUACGGGAGGCAGCAGUGGGGAAUAUUGGACAAUGGGCGCAAGCCUGAUCCAGCAAUGCCGCGUGAGUGAUGAAGGCCUUCGGGUCGUAAAGCUCUUUUACCCGGGAUGAUAAUGACAGUACCGGGAGAAUAAGCUCCGGCUAACUCCGUGCCAGCAGCCGCCGUAA